rnacentral:rRNA from 1 species
UGCUUGGCGACCAUAGCGUUUUGGACCCACCUGAUUCCAUCCCGAACUCAGAAGUGAAACGAAAUAGCGUCGAUGGUAGUGUGGGGUUUCCCCAUGUGAGAGUAGAACAUCGCCAGGCUU